AUCCGGGAUGCAGCUGGUGAUACGACAUUCCUUGAAAUGUUGGGAAUCUCCAAAGGCUCCAGUCAAGCCCUUUGUUUUGUGAUCGACACCACGAAAAGCAUGAGUGAGGCCAUUAAGGCCGUGAGGAAGGUCGCCAAUGAGAUCAUCAACAGCAAUGUGGGAAGAGUGGACAAACCUUCAGUUUAUAUUCUAGUCCCGUUCAGUGAUCCAGAUUUUGGCCCAUUGAUAAAAACCACAGAUCCAGAAGUCUUCAGGGCUAUCAUUAAUACCUGAAAGCAGAGGGAGGAGGCAAUACUGCAGAAAUGAGUCUUUCAGGACUUCAGCUGGCAUUAGGUGCUGCUCCUUUCAAUUCUGAGGUCUUCCUCUUCACUGAUGCCCCGGCUAAAGACCGCGAGCUGAAAAACACAGUGAUUGCACUCAUUGAACGCACCAAGACAGUGGU